GGGCAGCAAAGCCGCGAGGUGGAGCCAAUCCCAGAAAAGCCGGUCUCAGUUCGGAUUGGAGUCUGCAACUCGACUCCAUGAAGUUGGAAUCGCUAGUAAUCGCGGAUCAGCAUGCCGCGGUGAAUACGUUCCCGGGCCUU
rnacentral:rRNA from 1 species